rnacentral:tRNA from 1 species
CAGAAAAUAGUUUAGGUUUUUAAAAUAUAAAUUUUGGAGAUUUAAGAGAUAUAAUUAUAUUUUUCUGA